GACGAACGCUGGCGGCGUGCUUAACACAUGCAAGUCGAGCGCACCGCCAGGGGUGCGGCAGACGGGUGAGUAGCGCGUGGGGAGGGACCCAUAUGUUCGAGAUAGCCCUGGGAAACUGGAAUUAAUACGGAAUGGGGGCUUUGGGGGAACGGUAUAUCGGAUAAGGAUCGGCGCGCGUGGGAUUUGCGGGUUGGUGGGGUAGACUCGUAGCAUGUCGGCUUCCCAGAGCUGGGGUGAGAGGAUGAUCCGUCACAUUGGAACUGAGACACGGCCCCAACUCCUACGCGAGGGAGCAGUGGGGAAUAUUGGACAAUGGGCGCAAGCCUGAUACAGCCACGCCGGGUAAGUGAUGAAGGCCGUAGUGAUGUAAAGCUCUUUCACCGGAGAAGAUAAUGACGGUAUCCGGAGAAGAAGCCCCGGCUAACUUCGUG
rnacentral:rRNA from 1 species